UUGACAUUAUAGUGCUACAAAUAACAAUCUUAUUAAGUUACAACCAUAAUUAACCUCCUCAUCAAUCAACUACAGUGGUGGCAUAUGAUGCUUAGCCCAUCCAAGAUAUAAGUUAAUCACACGAGUCCUCUGGAACUGCCCAAAUAAAAAUCCAACAGAGAACUCCUCAGCAUGUUAUAUAACAUGUCAAAUUCAAAACCCGUAUCGUUUAUUGUCAUAUAUUACAAGAAUGCAAAGAUCAUCGCUCGAAACGCCUGGACUACAACUGUGUUUGACAUGACAGACCACUCCACUCCACUGUGUGCAAUCAUCUACAGACUCCUAAUAUACCGUUUUCCUUCUUAUGCACGACUCUCAUUAACAUAGUUCGGAACCUCAGCUUGGCUGUCAAGAGGCAUGUACUGAGCCAUAAUAGCUCUGAUUUCUGAAUCCAUGUAUGACCUCAAUCUGUAUUUGUAUACAAGGUAUGCUCCACCAGCAGCCAUAGCCAAGCCUAUCAAAAUAACCCAAACAGCAGUCCAGGCAGAUCUUCCAGUGCUAGACGCCUUACUUAUGCAAGUAUCAUGGUCUCUGAUAUACAAAAGAUCACCACUGCAACUGCAGUCGUAGCUGCCCCAGGUAUUUUUGCAGCUACAUUCAGGG
rnacentral:misc_RNA from 1 species